CCCUUAGAUGUUCUGGGCCGCACGCGCGUUACAAUGACGGAGGCAACGAGCCCAUCCUGCGCCGAAAGGUGUGGGUAAUCUUGUAAACUCUGUCGUGCUGGGGAUCGGUCUUUGCAAUUAUGGACCGUGAACGAGGAAUGCCUAGUAAGCGCAAGUCAUCAGCUUGUGUUGAUUACGUCCCUGCCCUUUGUACACACCGCCCGUCGCUCCUACCGAUUGAACGAUUCGGUGAAAUCUCGGGAGGGACCGUGGUAGAGGCUCCGGCCCCAAGCCACGGACCCAAACCUGAUUAAACCUCAUCGUUUAGAGGAAGGAGAAGUCGUAACA
rnacentral:rRNA from 1 species